GGGCUCGUAGCUCAGCUGGUAGAGCACUCCCAUGGCAUGGGAGGGGUCAGGGGUUCAAGUCCCCUCGAGUCCA
rnacentral:tRNA from 2 species